rnacentral:rRNA from 1 species
UUCCUACGGGGAGGNAGCAGUGGGGAAUAUUGGACAAUGGGCGCAAGCCUGAUCCAGCCAUGCCGCGUGUGUGAAGAAGGCCUUCGGGUUGUAAAGCACUUUCAGCGAGGAGGAAGGGGUGUGUGUUAAUAGUACACACCUUUGACGUUACUCGCAGAAGAAGCACCGGCUAACUCUGUGCCAGCAGCCGCGGUAAUACAGAGGGUGCAAGCGUUAAUCGGAAUUACUGGGCGUAAAGCGCACGUAGGCGGUUUUUUAAGUCAGAUGUGAAAGCCCCGGGCUCAACCUGGGAAUUGCAUUUGAAACUGGGGAACUAGAGUGUGUGAGAGGGGGGUAGAAUUCCAAGUGUAGCGGUGAAAUGCGUAGAGAUUUGGAGGAAUACCAGUGGCGAAGGCGGCCCCCUGGCACAACACUGACGCUCAGGUGCGAAAGCGUGGGGAGCAAACAGGAUUA